GUCGGCGACCACACCACGUUGAAAGCACCGGUUCUCCUCCUAUCAUCAAAGUUAAGCAACGUUGGGCUUGUUUAGUACUUGCAUGUUCAACAAAUAUGACAAAGGAAAUGGUUAUAUGUC
rnacentral:rRNA from 1 species